rnacentral:lncRNA from 1 species
GCUAACUAAAAUUUGUUAUCUAUAUAAUUUUAUUAUUUUAGAAGUCAAAAUAAUAGCAUUAGUUCAAUGCACUUCUCCUUGACUCCAUCUGUCAUUUUUGAUAGCAGGACAUGAAAUGAUGAUGAAUAGAAAAAUUAUCUGGUUGGCAGUGUUGGUGAGAUAAAUUAUAAUGACCUAUUCAAUAGCGACAAAAUAGAUAAAUCGUUCGAUAAACUGAUCAGUCUGGGUAUAAAGGGAGAAUCACUUACAGCUUAGUUAACAGGUGUCGAACAUUUCAAUGCAUUUCUUUAUAAAACAAAAAAGAUAAUGGAAGACAACUUCAACAAAUUACAAAUAGUGUUAGACGAUUAUACGAAACGAUCAUCAAUCACCCAAAGAAGCAAGAAUGUAGUUAAUCGCCGUAAAUAUGUAAAAAUGGCACAAACACCGGACGAAAUCUUUUCCUGGCUGAACAAUGUAGAGAGCUUAAUUAUACCUACCCUAACCAACAGUAUUCCUGUAUCCACAGAAGAGAUUAAU